UACAGAGGUCUCAAGCGUUGUUCGGAUUCAUUGGGCGUAAAGGGUGCGUAGGCGGCGCGGUAAGUCGGGUGUGAAAUCUCGGGGCUUAACUCCGAAACUGCAUUCGAUACUACCGUGCUUGAGGACUGGAGAGGAGACUGGAAUUUACGGUGUAGCGGUGAAAUGCGUAGAUAUCGUAAGGAAGACCAGUGGCGAAGGCGGGUCUCUGGACAGUACCUGACGCUGAGGCACGAAGGCCAGGGGAGCAAACGGG
rnacentral:rRNA from 1 species